GGGGGCGGGGCACUCUGGCAGGGACAAACGGGAUCCCCCUCCGAGCGGCAUGUGGGAGAUCUGACCGUCACACAUUAGGCUCCAGCCAGUCCCUGCAGGAGGCAGCGAGGCGCUCUCUACCCCCCAAGAGUGACUAAUUGUGAGUGAUCAUUUGGGGUUUGCAACAGACAGUUGGUGAAAAGAACAUUAAAGAGCUGGGGAGGUGGGAAGUAAUUAUCCCCAGCAUUUCAUUCAUUACCCUGUCAUUUGGAUAAAGUGGGGGCUGAACAGGUGAUUGGCUGUUUGAGGAAGUUGGACUGAAGAAAUCCAUCUGUGAUGCUGCUCACCCGCUGAUAACGUCAUCAACAAAGCUGAGGCUCUGAUUGGUGCCGUCCGUUGUCUUUGCCAAAGUUCAGAUUUUGUAACUCUAGAUGUGCCGAGCCGCCCAAACUGCGCAGCAACACUCAAAUCGCACAGCUGCUGGAUCGACGCACUGUUCCUGAUACUCAAAUUGUGCUGCAGGACCUCUGAUCGCAUCUAUACAAUGACCUGACAUUGAAACAGAACACCUCUGUUGUACGAAUCUCGUUUGGUGUGAACGGAGCUUUACAACUGAAACAGUUUCAUUUGGUUUCACUUCUCUUUGGUUAUAUUCCUCUAUCCUGUAGCUGGUCUUGGUCUGAGAUUUUUGUUUUGUCUUUAACAUUUCUAUACACUAACAAGGAAAAGGGUUUGGUAACUAGAAAAGUUAUUUUUCCUCUUGUCUUCCUACCAGAGUUGUGUAAAUUUGGCAUUGUAGCAGGAUGAAAUGGUGCACCUGCUUUACAGGUGUUGACAAUCCACUUGAUUGCCAAAAGGGUGUGGUGGAGCCAAUAAAAGGCAGAGUUGCAGAGUUGCUUUGUGCUGGCACACUGCACUCUGAAGAGCCGCCGCCGCACAUUUCUGCUGAGGUGAACAGUCAGUCACCAUCCAGGGUUGUUGGGACGACAUACAUCUUAACCACUUUUUAGUCUUGUGUUUUUUUUUUUUGUUUGUUUGUUUUUUUUUUAUUUUUAAUUUUGUGUCUCUUUUUAAUCUGUUUUUAGAGCCCGCCCCCUGCAAGAACCAGGUUUCAGGUGGUGGAGUGGACCUAUAUGUGUGGUGUGCUUCCUGGGUUGGAUUCCCCCGUCCCUUCACAAUUCAGGGAUUGGCAACUUUAAAGAUGGGAAGCGCCACCAUUUUUCUUCAUCACUACCAGAGGGCCACAUAGGACUUCGCUUCCAUAAAUGAGACAGGAAAAGGGGCACUGUUUUAAAUAAGACCAAAAUCUUUGUAAGCUGUAUUUAUAAACUUGUCUUCUACACUGUAGGCCACCUGCCGCAGAUUGUUUGCGAGUGCCACCCAUUGGCGAAGCAAGUAAUUACAUUUUGGAAUUAAUUCUAGAGCACUGGUCCCCAACCUUUUUGUGGCUACAGACCAGUCAACCCGUGAGGAUUUUAACACGCCCUGGAGCUGGAAGAGGAGCAGUGCUCUCUGUGCACUUGCGCAUUCACAACUUCUCUGAAAUGUGCAUCUGAAUGGAUGAGCUUGUUUGACUAUUACAGUUUAAAAGAUUAGAUUUGUUUAUUAAAGUCACAUCUUUUUGAAAACAGGUACGGUGUGUAGGAAUCACCUGUUCUUCUGCUUGUUCUUUUCCAUUUUUCCAAGAAAGGUUCUACUUACAACUUUUCUCAUGUUACUUGCAGCCGGACUGCUUUUAGUCUCAAGCUAAUCGAAAGAAUACGGUUAUUUUCAAAAUAAAAGAUUAUCAACUCUCAAAAAAACAAAACAAAAAAAAAA